rnacentral:lncRNA from 1 species
CCAUCUCUUACCUGCUGUGUGGCCAUGAGCAAAUGCCUAUUCUCACUGGGACUCAGUUUCCUCAUCUACAAAGUGAAACGUGUUCAUACUUCCCUUAUGGUCAGUGAGGAUGGAAUGGGAUAACAUUCUGCACCCCGCCUGGCACCACAGGCAUAUGAGGUAUUCGAUAAGUGAAUGAUUGUGCCAGACAAGAAAGCUGCCUGCCCUCCUCCUCCUCGGCCCUGUGCAGGGACUGGGGUGGAUGAGAAAGCCCGUGUUUCCUGAACACCUGUUUGCACCAGGCACCUAUUUGGCUGCUGCCUGGAUGUCCUUCUCAGGUUCCAGCUCAGGUCUCUUGGACCAGUCCCCUGGUCUGGGGUAGGGAUGCCUGGAACGGCUCUAGCGGCAAGGCCAUAUCUCGCCAGGCUGCCAGGAUGAGCUGAGCAUUGUGUCCACGGUGGGUGUCUGAAGGAAAUAAUGUAUACAGUGGUCCAUUUCCAAGACCAAGUGCCUUGAAUCUGGCUCUCCUCUCCUGCUAAGCUUUGUUUCCUAAUUAAAAUCUGCCACUGCCAUAGCUACUGCUGCUGCUGGAUUUUAAAUUUAUAAGCUUAAAUUUCAGUGAUGAUGUCUUAGGAAGAACAGGAGAGGAGGAACA